AAAAUAAAAUUUGAUUUUAAAAAAAUUUAAUUUUUAAACUAGGAUUAGAUACCCUAUUAUUUUAAGCUUAAUGUUGGUAGUAAGUAAAAAUUAUGAAAUCAUAAAAUUUUGGCGGUAUUUUAAGCUUGUUAGAGGAAUUUGCUCUAUAAUGGAUACAACGCCUAUAUCUUACCUAAUUUUGUAAUUAAAGUCAGUUUGUAUACCACUAUAUUUAAUUAUAUUGAAUAAUUAUAUUUAAGAUUUUUAUACAAAUAUAUAUUAAGUCAAGGUGCAACAAAUAAUUA
rnacentral:rRNA from 1 species